rnacentral:rRNA from 1 species
AACGAACGCUGGCGGCAUGCCUAACACAUGCAAGUCGAACGAUACCUUCGGGUCUAGUGGCGCACGGGUGCGUAACGCGUGGGAACCUUCCCUUAGGUUCGGAAGAACUCCCCGAAAGGUGUGCUAAUACCGGAUAAUGUCUUCGGACCAAAGAUUUAUCGCCUUUGGAUGGGCCCGCGUUGGAUUAGCUAGUUGGUAGGGUAAAAGCCUACCAAGGCGACGAUCCAUAGCUGGUCUGAGAGGAUGAUCAGCCACACUGGGACUGAGACACGGCCCAGACUCCUACGGGAGGAAGCAGUGGGGAAUAUUGGACAAUGGGCGAAAGCCUGAUCCAGCAAUGCCGCGUGAGUGAUGAAGGCCUUAGGGUUGUAAAGCUCUUUUACCCGGGAUGAUAAUGACAGUACCGGGAGAAUAAGCUCCGGCUAAAUACGUG